GCACCGUUAAGCACUAAGCUAAGGAGACGUAUGACGGUGUGGGUGUUUAGAUCCACGUAUUUUUGACAUUGGUACAAGCAAAAAAUUUGCAGAAAAAUGAAGUGUGUGAGCCGUGGUUGUCGCGUCUUUGUGAUCCCAUGCACGCUCGAUUUACACAACUGUAGUCUGUUGCCACGUCUGUUUUGUACCUCAAUAAUUCACUCUUGAGAACAGUUCCUCUGACCAGUUUCGGAAUUAUAUGGACACAUUCAUAGCGGAAAAAAUAAGCCAAAGUUUGUUAAAUGGAUAUGGGUAUGAUAAUAUUUUAAUUGUGAAGUGAAGAAUUAUUCAGUUGGAAUGAAGAGGAGUGGGAGUAUAAUGGUUAUCAUCGGACUUUACAGAGUUGCCUUCAGGUGGUGGUGCAGAAAAACAAGUAUUUAUUGAGACCAUCAAAAUGUCUUUGAUAAAUCAGACAAUUAAAGAAGAACAGUUCAUACUGGAAGAUGAAUCCCAUGAGGAUCAUGUGAAGGAGCUGGAUGGAAUGCAGUAUAUAAAGCAGGAACCCUUUAGCUCACUGGAUGAGAAUGAUAAUGAGCCAUCCAACAUCUCAGGACUUGAAAGAAAGCAGUCGCUGGUCAUGGAGCAGGCAUGUGACAUUGAAAUGAAAUCUGAACCACUUCUAGAAGAGUCCAAGCCUGUAAUAAAGGAGCAAGUUGCAAUUGCCCCGUUUACACCACAGGAGGGUGUGGCUUUGCCAGCAGCAUGGACUCUCCAUAUUUAUAUCUCCUGGAGAGAGGGUGUACCAUCAUUUAAGCCCCUGGGUUCCACAUUGAGCCAUGGGUUAUGGAAAGCAUUACUCAUGACCAUGUUGGGAGAGCCCUGGUGUAAAGUGACUUUGAUCUUUUCAGGUAAAAACUGAAACUUGUGAUCACAUCUCCGAAGAUGAUACAAAGCACAGUUCAACUUUAGCAAAGCCACAAUGUGGGGAAGAAACUGAAGAAAGAUAUAUUCAGAAUGAAAUUUUUCAGGAUGAUGUCACCAAGAACUCUCAUGGACUUUACCCAGAAGAAUUGCAGAGGAUAGACAAUGCACAUGAAGAGAGUGCUUCUACAAAAGGCGCUGAAAUUAAGGUUCCAGAAGUUACUGAAAGCAAUUUGAGAGGUGGAAAACAUCAAAAGAAACAGAAGAAAAAGAAUUUGAGAGGUGAAGAGCACAAGUCUGCAUCUUGUCAGUUUCAAGAAAUUCUAUUUUGUGAUUUAUGUGGGGAGAAUUUUACACAAAAAAGGUAUCUAGCCAGACACAUAAGUAGCCACCUAAACAAAGAAAGAUCUGUUGGUAUUGUAUCUUGUGAUUUAUGUGGGAAGAGUUUUUCACAAAGAAGCCAUCUAGUCGGACACAUGAGAAGCCACAAAAGCAAAGGACUAUAUGUCUGUAAUGAAUGUGGAGUAAGAUGCUCAAGACCCGAUACACUGAAGAGACAUAAGACUCUACAUAU